GAUCAGUUGUAGCAAUACGACUGUGAGAGUAGCGCACGGGUGCGUAACACGUAUGGAAUCUGCCCCUAUCUGUGGAAUAGCCCCUCGAAAGAGGGAUUAAUACCACAUAAUAUAAUGAGUAGGCAUCUAUUUAUUAUCAAAGCUCAGGCGGAUAGGGAUGACCGUGCGGCUGAUUAGCUAGUUGGUGAGGUAAUGGCUCACCAAGGCUACGAUCAGUAGGGGGUCUGAGAGGAUGUCCCCCCACACUGGUACUGAGACACGGACCAGACUCCUACGGGAGGCAGCAGUAGGGAAUAUUGGUCAAUGGGCGCAAGCCUGAACCAGCCAUGCCGCGUGCAGGAUUAAGGCCCUAUGGGUCGUAAACUGCUUUUGUACGGGAAGAAACCUCAUUACGUGUAAUGAGUUGACGGUACCGUGAGAAUAAGGAUCGGCUAACUUCGUGCCAGCAGCCGCGGUAAUACGAAGGAUCCAAGCGUUGUCCGGAUUUACUGGGUUUAAAGGGUGCGUAGGUGGAUGAUUAAGUCAGUGGUGAAAGCUUGCAGCUUAACUGUAAAAUUGCCAUUGAAACUGAUCGUCUUGAAUAUGGUUGAGGUGGUUGGAAUGUUGCAUGUAGCGGUGAAAUGCUUAGAUAUGCAACAGAACACCGAUUGCGAAGGCAGAUCACUAAACCAUUAUUGACACUGAGGCACGAAAGCGUGGGGAUCAAACAGGAUUAGAUACCCUGGUAGUCCACGCCCUAAACGUUGCAUACUCGGUCUUAGCGAUAAACAGUUAGGACCCAAGCGAAAGCGUUAAGUAUGCCACCUGGGAAGUACGACCGCANGGUUGAAACUCAAAGGAAUUGACGGGGGCCCGCACAAGCGGAGGAGCAUGUGGUUUAAUUCGAUGAUACGCGAGGAACCUUACCUGGGCUUGAAUGUGAGUGACCG
rnacentral:rRNA from 1 species